rnacentral:rRNA from 1 species
GAUGAACGCUAGCUACAGGCUUAACACAUGCAAGUCGAGGGGUAACGAGAGGGAAGCUUGCUUUCCUUGACGACGACCGGCGCACCGGUGAGUAACGCGUAUCCACCCUGCCCCCAAUUAAGGAAUAAGCUUGCGACAGUAAGACGAUUCCCCUAUAAUUGCCUCAGAUGACAUCUGACGAGGAAUACAGAUUUAACGGUUGUGGAUGGGGAUGCGUCUGAUUAGCUUGGUGGCGGGGUAACGGCCCAACAAAGUAACGAUCAGUAGGGGUUCUGAGAGGAAGGCCCAGCACAUUGGAACUGAGGGACGGUCCAAACUCCUACGGGAGGCAGCAGUGAGGAAUAUUGGUGAAGGGGGGAAAGCCUGAUCCAGCCAGGCCGCGUGCAGGAUGAAGGCCUUCGGGUUGUAAACUGCUUUUGUACGGAGCGAAAAGGUUUGGCCUAAUAAGCUGAGCUCAUGACGGUACCGUAAGAAUAAGCACCGGCUAACUACGUGCCAGCAGCCGCCGUAA